UACGAAGGGUGCAAACGUUGCUCGGAAUUAUUGGGCGUAAAGCGCACGUAGGCGGCUUAGCAAGUCGGAUGUGAAAGCCCUCGGCUCAACCAAGGAAGUGCAUCCGAAACUGCUGAGCUUGAGUACUUAAGAGGAUCGCGGAAUUCCCGGUGUAGAGGUGAAAUGCGUAGAUAUUCGGAAGAACACCAGUGGCGAAGGCGGCUCACUGGUCCGGUACUGACGCUGAGGUGCGAAAGCGUGGGGAGCAAACAGG
rnacentral:rRNA from 1 species